UGAUGAUGGGAAAUAAGGGCAUCUCUCUGUUGCUUAGGAACAGAAAUUUCUUGUGCCUCUGCUCCAGCUGGAGGAACCAGGUAAUUUACUUUCAGAGUUCCCCCAUCUCUUAUUCAAACAGAGCCGAAGUGGGUCCUCUUUUCAUUUUGGCUUGGCAAGGUGGGGGCUUAUUAGGCUUAUUAGAUCCCCUAGCUUUCUUCCACUCAGCAAACUUCUCUUCCGUGCUUCAGGCAUUGUUUCAAAACUGUGCUUAUCCAAAGUCUUUAUUAGCUGGGCAUAUAAACUAUAGAUUUUCUUCAUGAGCUGGCACUUGGGUAUUUUUCUCAACCAGAAAGCAUGUGGAGCCCAUGUGAGAGGCAUGCGGAACGGUCUUCCAUCUGAAUGACAGGUGAUGUUUGAUAUCUUGUUGCAUCAUCACCUGCACCUCAAGGAGGGAAGGUUGUCACUCUCUCACACAGCAUACACACACACACUCUCCCAUGUUUAGGUCUGAAGUCAAGGAGGGAGGCAGAAACCCUGAUCUUUUGUGAAAUCUGAGGGCCCCACUUCCUGGUACUAAGACGGGAGAACAAAGAUUUGCAGAUUUGCAACCCUGCCUGUGCCCGUGCAUCUCUUUUGGAGCUUUGCAAAAUAUAUUUUCCUGAGGCUUAGCCCCCAAAACUCUGAUUCUUUGGGCCUUUGGGAUGGCCUAGGUUCAAAAGUUUCCCAAGUAAUUACAGCUUCAAAGUCAGUCCCAUUUUUUUUCCCUGCUCAGCCCCAGCUGAAGUGUAUUGGAUGCCCAGAACCAGGGCUGGGACAGAAAGGCCUGGGCACGAAGUGCUCAGGCUUCCUCACACCUGGCCAGGGCUGUGUGCGGGCCCUCUGUUCUGCUUCCCAGGAAGCUCUGGAGCUAAUUUUCACACACUUUCUGCAAGGAUGGUGGCAAGUGGGGAUGCUUGCUCUCAAAGGAGCACUCAGAAGGAGAAUUGAGGGAGUUCCUGCUGUGGUGCAGUGGGUUAAGAACCUCAAUAGUAUUCAUGAGGAUGCAGGUUUAAUCCCUGGCCUUGCUCAGUGGGUUAAGGAUCCCGCGUUGCCAUGAGCUGUGGAAUAGGUUGCAGACGCGGCUCAGAUCUCGUAUGGCUGUAAUUACAGCUUCAAAGCCAUUCCCAGCCUGGGAACUUCCAUAUGCUGCAGGUAUAGCCCUAAAAAGAAAACACAAACAAACAAAAAAGAAUCUGACUACAGUGACUCACGUUGCUGUACAAGAGCACGUUUGAUCCCUGACCUGGUGCAGUGGGUUAAAGGAUCUGCCAUUGCCACAGAGAUAUAGGGCACGGCUGUGGCUCGGAUUCAAUCCCUAGCCUGGGAACUUCCAUAUGCCAUGGAUGUAGCCAUUAAAAAAAAAAAGGAGAAGAGAGAAUUGAGGCUUGUAGUUGAGUAGAAACAUAGUAGAAAUAUUUAAGAGGUGACUAGACCAUAGGAAUCUGACUAGAAGAGCCCUGAUCCCGGGGAGUUUUUGACCUGGAAGCCUGGUAAGGUCAGAACCAUCUAGAUGCAUAGGUGUAUGUCAGACAUAUAUCAGGGUCCUGCAAGGGUAUUCACCUCAUAGUUCCACUCACCUUUCUUUAAGUGUUCAAGAAAAAUCUAAUAGAUUAAUUAAGAGCAUUAUAGUUGCAGCCACAAAUAAUUUUAAAAGGGAAUGAGAUGUAGCUACCAUUUACCUCUUUUUUUCUGUCUUCAUAAAGAAGGAAGUCAGUGAUUAUUGCUCCUGGAAAGUGAAGGUGAUUAUAUAAUCUUUAAAACAUUCCCAGUAUAAUAAUAGAAAUGUUGACCAUUUCUCCUAGAAAGCCACAAGCCAAAGGCCGUUGUUUUUUGGCUUUUUUCUUGCUUGGUUAUGUAAAUGGUCAUUUGUGGGAACCCCAUCGUUGAUCCAGAAAUCUUGCUUUAAAGAGAGCUGGCACAUGCAGGAAGUGAGGCUCCAUGGGAAGCUCUAAUUUGCAUGAUUCCCGAAUGCAGGCCUGUGACGAAAGCCUAAUGGGUCAGGUUCUCAGGUGCACCUGGCCAUGAAAUCAGUCUCAAUGGCUUCACGGUCAUGCUGGAAAUAAGACUCACAUCUCUUCCCCUGGCUUGACAAAUUCUAAGCACCUGAAUUUGAGAAAGACGAAAAGGAAGAAAUUCCAACCAGAUGCACAAGUGAAACCUGCCUUUUGAAGUAAUUUAAAUUUCUGAUAGUUUUUUUGCCCCUCCACUCUUGAUAUUAGUGCAGAAUCUAAAAUGAACUUGAAUCUCACCCUCUUCUAGUGAUGUGGAAUAGGAAGAGCCCAAGAGGAUGUUCGAUUUUAGCCAGACUGCAGUGGGAGAGCUGCUGAAUGGGUGGAGCCAGGGUGGUAGGGGGCUCCAGGCCUUGGAGUACAGUCUCAGAGCUGUGGAAGAUUUCUCCAGAAGCUGCAUGUAUCUGGAAUGCACACUUAAUUUACAGUAUUUAGGAGGAUGAGAGUGUUGGCUGACAACCCCUGGAACACCCCUCGGUGCUCCCACUGCAGGGCUGGGCGCCUCCCCCCACCAUUUCCUGCUCUUACUUUGGUGUCUUUGGGGGAGUCCUUUGCUCCUAAGAGGCCUGCAAGGAAGAGGUGGCUGGAUCCUACCACAGGGCACGCCCAGAGCAGCCAGUAGUUACCAACUUUAUUAUUCAUCCUCUUCCCAGUUGGCUCCCAUAAUGAUAAAAAUAGAAGUGUGCCCUUUCGUGCCUCUCCUCUCUGAUCUCCAGUUUAAUAAAACGAGUGACAGAGAGAUGGCAGCCGCCAAGAAGUGAAGAUUCCCUUUGACGAGAGCGCCAGCCACCCAUGGCACACCUUCACCUCUGGGAUCAUAGCAAAGAGUUGAGAAUGCAGUUCUGUUCUCCCUUUACCGCCUUUGGUAGUAGGUCGCGUCACCUAUGCGAAUAUCAGCACUGACAUCUCAUGAUCCAUGAUUUUGUGACUUAAAUAAUAGUAUUUCCAGAGCCCCCUUUCCAUGGUGCCUUGAAGUUUAUUAUCACCAGGAAAACAGCAGCAUCCCUAGCUAGCAUGGUGGUUUUAAAGAACCUGCUCUCUGACCCCCAGCCCAUCCUCCCAGCACACCCUCUUGCGUCCUGCCACCAGCCAGACUUCUGACCCACUACCCUACCUCAUGUUCAUUGUCCACCAUCCCCCUUCUUAUAUUCUUUUUUUUUUAAACCUAGCUUUGAUGACACAAUCUGUCAUAUUUGUUAGUUAAGCUACUAAAUGUUGCAGGAAACAAAUAUAUCAUUGUGUUCAUUUAUUUAUAAAUCCAUGACACAAAUCUAAAACUCACCCUUGGCACUGUGUGCCAAUCCUAUUUCACCUCUUAGAACAGUCAUUCUUCUACUUUCCAGAACACUUGGACUGUCCUCUCUUGCCCCUAACUCCUGAGGCUCCAUUCCCACUUACCUUCAGUUGAUGACCUUGCCUCGGGAUUUAUGGAGGAAAUAAAAGUGGUAAGGCAGGCCAAAUACCCAGCAUCAGAUCCAACCACCCUGAUAUCUUGAUCCACACUCCACUUCUCCCUUGGAUGUGCAGAGGAGGUGUCUCUGUUCUUAGGAAAUGUUACUUCUUCUUGUUCUCUUCCGACUCCUCUGUAGACAGAGGUGCACCCUCAUUUGCCUGGUUCAGCUGUGAUUUACGUCUGCUGGCCUGACAUCAUUCUGAAUCAGUAGUUUCCCUUAGAGCAUUCCAGCUUGGAUGAUCAAUAGUAUGGGCCCCUUAGUUAUAGAACAGAGUUUGAUGCAUGGGAUGAUCUUUUCAGAUCAGCUCUCUGCUCACACUGUCCUAAUUCCUUUCCAGGUGGUUACCUAGUUUUAUAAUAAUUUCCAGGGUAUGGUGGGGCAAGUCCUCCCUCCCUUCCUUCCUUCCUUCUUUUUUUUUUUGUUUUUUUUUUUUUAGGGCUGUACCUGCAGCAUAUGGAGGUUCCCAGGCCAGGGGUCGAAUCAGAACUAUAGCUGGCAGCCUAUGCCACAGGAACAGCAGCAUGGGAUCCAAGCCACAUCUGCAGCCUGCACUACAGCUCAUGGCAAUGCUGGAUCCCUGAUCCACUGAGCAAGGCCAGGGAUCAAACCCACAUCCUCACAGAUACUAGUCGGAUUCAUUUCGCCUGACCGCAAUGGGAAAUUCCCUCCCUUCCUUUCUUUGCUAUAAGUAAUCAGUUUAUAAUCUCAUACUGAGUGAAAUGAGCCAGAAAGACAGAUAAUUACCAUAUGAUAUCACUUAUAACUGGAAUCUAAUAUCCAGCACAAAUGAACAUCUCCUCAGAAAAGAAAAUCAUAGACUUGGAGAAAAGGCUUGUGGCUGCCUGAUGGGAGGGGGAGGGAGUGGGAGGGAUCGGGAGCUUGGGCUUAUCAGACACAACUUAGAAUAGAUUUACAAGGAGAUCCUGCUGAGUAGCAUUGAGAACUUUGUCUAGAUACUCAUGUUGCAACGGAAAAAAGGGUGGGGAAAAAAUGUAAAUGUAAUGUAUACAUGUAAGGAUAACUUGGUCCCCUUGCUGUACAGUGGGGAAAAAAAAAAAAAAAAGAAUCAGUUUAUAAAGUUCCACAAAAUCCUGCUGGGGUUUUGAUUGGAGGUUCAUUGAGUCUCUGGAUCCGUUUGGGGGUAGAACUAACAUCAUUACAAAAUCAAAUCUUCCUGUUUGUUAAUACAUGUAUUUCUCUAUUUGGUUUUCCCUGAAUAUCUUUUGGUAAAAUAUCACAAUUUUCUGUAUCCAGUUUGAACAUAUAUCUGGUUAGUGUCUUACUAGGUAUUUUAUAGAUUUUGUUUCUACUGUAAAUGUGGUAUUAAAAAUUAUUUCUUCUGUUUUUUUUGUGGUUGAAUUGUAUAUUUUCCUAUGCAGUCAUUUUGCUAAAAUUACUUUUUAUUUACAAUAGUUUAUAAAUUUGUCAGGGUUUUCUAUGCAGACAGUCCUAUCGCAUGCCAAAAAUGAUGGCUGUUUUCUCCUUUCCAAUACUUCUGCUUAAAAAAAAGACAU
ensembl:lncRNA